GAUGAACGCUGGCGGCGUGCCUAAUACAUGCAAGUCGAGCGAACAGACGAGGAGCUUGCUCCUCUGACGUUAGCGGCGGACGGGUGAGUAACACGUGGAUAACCUACCUAUAAGACUGGGAUAACUUCGGGAAACCGGAGCUAAUACCGGAUAAUAUAUUGAACCGCAUGGUUCAAUAGUGAAAGACGGUUUUGCCGUCACUUAUAGAUGGAUCCGCGCCGCAUUAGCUAGUUGGUAAGGUAACGGCUUACCAAGGCGACGAUGCGUAGCCGACCUGAGAGGGUGAUCGGCCACACGGGAACUGAGACACGGUCCAGACUCCUACGGGAGGCAGCAGUAGGGAAUCUUCCGCAAUGGGCGAAAGCCUGACGGAGCAACGCCGCGUGAGUGAUGAAGGUCUUCGGAUCGUAAAACUCUGUUAUUAGGGAAGAACAAAUGUGUAAGUAACUAUGCACGUCUUGACGGUACCUAAUCAGAAAGCCACGGCUAACUACGUG
rnacentral:rRNA from 1 species